rnacentral:rRNA from 1 species
UACGUAGGAGGCAAGCGUGUCCGGAAUUACUGGGCGUAAAGCGCGUGUAGGUGGUGGGACAAGUCUGCUGUGAAAGCGCCUGGCUUAACCGGGCGAGGUCGGCGGAAACUGUCCGACUCGAGGACGGUAGAGGGGGGUGGAAUUCCCCGGUGUAGUGGUGAAAUGCGUAGAGAUCGGGAGGAACACCUGUGGCGAAGGCGGCCCCCUGGGCCCGCCCUGACACUGAGACGCGAAGGCGUGGGGGAGCCGAACGGGG